CCUCUGAAGCUCAACCCUCGAUAUCCCAGUCUUUAGACAAAGACCGACAACUCACUAUAGAAUUCAACUUCGAAGACCUUCCUGCUAAUUUCGCCCCGGCUUUCAUGACAGUAGAAGCGCUGGUCAACAAAACGAAACUAAUGAACCCAAACGAUCCCAAUUCCGCAAUGACUGUGAUUGCCUUCGGAAACGAGACGAUUAGUUACUAUGGCAACGGCACACAAAGGGUUCUAAAAAACACAGUGUCAAGCACCUUCAAGACAUUGUCGUACAUUAACGGAUGUUGUCCGAUGCUACGCUUCUACUCCGCCAAUGAAACCUUAAAGAAUGUUUACGGUGUGGAGAGGAGACUGGUGCAUUUUUCCAGCGCCGACCCGCCCCGGUAUCAGUUUAUACAACACGGACU